CGGGAAAAGCUCAAAUUUAAAAUCUGGCAGUCUUUGGCUGUCCGAGUUGUAAUUUGUAGAAGAUGCUUCGGGUGUAGCACCGGUCUAAGUUCCUUGGAACAGGACGUCAUAGAGGGUGAGAAUCCCGUAUGUGACUGGCUGCCUUCGCCUAUGUGAAGCUCUUUCGAC
rnacentral:rRNA from 1 species